rnacentral:rRNA from 1 species
GGGGAAUAUUGGACAAUGGGCGAAAGCCUGAUCCAGCCAUGCCGCGUGAGUGAUGAAGGCCCUAGGGUUGUAAAGCUCUUUCAACGGUGAAGAUAAUGACGGUAACCGUAGAAGAAGCCCCGGCUAACUUCGUGCCAGCAGCCGCGGUAAUACGAAGGGGGCUAGCGUUGUUCGGAAUUACUGGGCGUAAAGCGCACGUAGGCGGACAUUUAAGUCAGGGGUGAAAUCCCGGGGCUCAACCCCGGAACUGCCUUUGAUACUGGGUGUCUAGAGUCCGGAAGAGGUGAGUGGAAUUCCGAGUGUAGAGGUGAAAUUCGUAGAUAUUCGGAGGAACACCAGUGGCGAAGGCGGCUCACUGGUCCGGUACUGACGCUGAGGUGCGAAAGCGUGGGGAGCAAACA